rnacentral:piRNA from 1 species
UGCACCUGUCACAGGAAUCCAAACAUUCUC